GUGUAAAGGUAGGCUCAAGCUAAUAUUCUGCUCGUGAGCGUAAUGGUAUAAGCCUUCCUGACUGUGAAACCAACUGGCCGAACAGACAUGAAAGUCGACCAUAGUAAUUCGAGAGUCCUGUGUGGAAGGGCUAUCGCUCAAC
rnacentral:ncRNA from 1 species